GCCGCCCCCAGCAGCACCUUUCACCCCCAGGACUUCAGUGACCUCAUCAGCUUCAUCCUCUAUGGCAGCCAGCACCGCGGAGGUAAAGAACCGUGGCUGGAGCGUCUGUACCACAGCUGUCAGCGUCUGGAGAAGCGCGAGGGUGUCUCGUCAGGUCGUGAAGGGGGUGUGUGCGUCUCCGGUGCGGGUGGCGGUGUGUGUGUACCGCGUGUUCUGCUGAAGACUGAGGCCGUGCUGUGGCAGUGGGCGGUGUGGGAGGCAGCUCAGUUCACAGUGUUGUCUAAACUCCGUACCCCCGCUGGGACGGGCACAGGACACCUUCCAGACCAUAGAGGGUAUAAUCCGCAGCCUGGCGGCCCACAGUCUGAACACUGAACAGGAGCUCAGCCAAUGGAGCGGCGGCGACACAGACGACGGUCACCAUAGCAACCAGCUGCGUCUGGCGCUGCUCCUGCAGUUCCUGGAAAACCUGGAGAAACUGAUGUACAACGCCUACGAGGGCUGUGCCAACGCUCUGACCGCUCCGCCUAAGGUACACACACAUAC